rnacentral:rRNA from 1 species
GACGAACGCUGGCGGCGUGCUUAACACAUGCAAGUCGAACGGUGAAGGGGCCUGCUUUUGUGGGUCCUGGAUGAGUGGCGAACGGGUGAGUAACACGUGAGUAACCUGCCCCCUUCUUCUGGAUAACCGCAUGAAAGUGUGGCUAAUACGGGAUAUUCUGGGUCUGUCGCAUGGUGGGCCUGGGAAAGAUUGCGCUUUUUUGGUGUUUUUGGUGGGGGAUGGGCUCGCGGCCUAUCAGCUUGUUGGUGGGGUGAUGGCCUACCAAGGCGGUGACGGGUAGCCGGCCUGAGAGGGUGGACGGUCACACUGGGACUGAGACACGGCCCAGACUCCUACGGGAGGCAGCAGUGGGGAAUAUUGCACAAUGGGCGCAAGCCUGAUGCAGCGACGCCGCGUGAGGGAUGGAGGCCUUCGGGUUGUGAACCUCUUUCGCCAGUGAAGCAGGCCUGCCUCGUUUGUGGG